UCCCCAAAUUCUUUAGCCAGAUCUGAUUUCCUCGCCAACACAGUCUCCUACCAUGGGGCAUCUCCUUCAAUCGCGACGCCUCUGACACCCACCUCCCCGGCCAUGCCUGAUACCAGCCCUUCCCACCGUCGACCAGGCCUCCGAUUCUCAGGCGCCCCUCCUCCUGCUGAUGGGAAGCACCCCACGGGAGGGAUGCACGGGCGUAUACCUGCCUGGCAGCCGGCCGCCAUGCUUGCAGUCGCUCCCAUGGCCGCGCCCGCCAUGGCGAGCAGCCGCGGGCAGGGCAAGUGACCAAGACGACGAUACGUGGCGGAGCUCCGGGCAUGGCCGAUGGAGACGACCGCGGCAGCGGGACGAUGGCACUGGGCAUGCCCGCUGGGCGAUGGCCGCGUCAUCGAUGCCUGUCCCCAACUCCCCAUCCCCGUCCCUAAGCUCUAUCUCCGCGCGCUAGGUCGUCGGCAACUAGGUUUAUUCGAGCUUUGGGAAUGGCUGACAUGUGCGGCAUCAUGCUCGGGAACGACGUAUCCCACGUUGAUCGUCAGUGAGCAGGUGAUCUUGCAGCGAAUUUUUGGUGGCCUCCGACCGUGAGGAUGAAGAGGACAUCCGCACACUCGAGUUCGGCCAGAGAACCUCAACAGAGGAGGUACGUUUCUAUCCAUUCUUCUUAAUUCCUUCAUUCUCGCUUGUAAACUUUGUCCACUCACAUCUCUAUUCUGCCUUUCUCAAAUCCACCCACCAUAGCAUCUUUCUAAGAUGAAUGCUUGCUUACUGUAAUAGGAUUUGGGACCAGACGGAGAAUGUAUUUAUUAUUUGUUACUUAGUUCAACUACCUAUGAUAUACGAGUUGGAAGGAUUAUACAGAAUAAUUUAGUCUUUUCAUACAUAUUUGCAUCUUUAUAACAUGAAUGCUUGCUUGCUGUAAUAGGAUUUGGGACCAUACGGAGAAUGUAUUUAUUAUUUGCACUUGCUUCUCCUCAUAUUUUUGUUGUAGAUUUGUGCAUUGUUGGGCAAUGUUAAGAUGCUAAGCAAGUGUUUCUUGUUACAUGGUUAUGAUUCUCUCAUAUUUUCUGACUACAGAGUUAGAUUUACAUUGAUGUCAUUGUCCAACAACUAUUUCUUUCUAUAUAAUAAUUAAUUGUCCUUAAUAAGAGGGCAUAGUUCAACAGCUAUUUCUUUGUGAAUAUUAAUCACUUGUCCUAUAUUUCUUGAUGCGUUGAAGGGGCAACACAUUCUCUGUUUUUAUUUUAUUUUGAAGAAACAUGAGGUUUACUCGCUGAUGCAAUGACCAAGAGGUGAAAUGAUUGAUAGCACAGUAAAACUACCAAAACCAACAACAAGAUCAUCAGGGGCACAUAUUGUUGCUAAAAAAAUCAGCACAUGUGCGCACAUGCCACCUAGAACAGAGGACAAGCAAAAGCCUUUCUCACUAAUUUUUUUUGAUUUCCCACUCUGCAAGCCUUUCACACAUUAGUUUCUGUAUUCAUGCCUCAAGCAAUAUUGUUAAUAAAUCAUGGUCUAGAGGCUGCAUCCCUCCUGUCUGAUAAUGAUCUGUUAUGAAUCUGUUGUUCUAGAUUUGUGCAAUGUUUUUCAGAUUUAUGAUUACUGGUCUUUAUUUCAACUAAUGAAUCUAUGCCAUUAGGCAUACCGUUUUCAUCCUGUCAGUUCAUGAAGUACAUCUUCUUGUGCAUAGUAUUAUUAAUUUUUUUAUUCAUCUAUGAUUUGGCAGGGAAAAGAUAAGGGAGUAGGCAUUUGUAUGAUAAAUCUCCAACAACAGUUUUGAAUUGAAUAGUUACCAUGUUUCCCAGGUUUGGCUACAACUCUUGAUUACCCACAACUGGCUUUUAUUUCUUACUUCUGGUCAUACCAUGUACUUAAACACCUUCUUAUCUGCAAUUGCUUGGGAGAUGAGAUUUAAUUAUGAUAAGCUUCUGGCUCCCUGACCUUUUGAUCUGUGUACUUAGUUUUUCUUGCCCUCGGACCAAGUAAAUGAAUAUUUAAUUAACACAAACUUUUAUUAGUACAUGAGAAUAAAGUUUCAUUGCAAAUGGUUCAACUCCAACCAGGCACCCAGUAGUUUGGCAUGUUCAUGUCUAGCUCUUUCCGUAAUAAUCGAGUCAUAGAUUUUAUAUUCCCACUGAUGCCAGCAAAAUGACCACAUAUCAUCCUCCUUUAAUGAUGUUGGAUUAUACGAAGCUUUGUAUGCAGCAGUCAUAUACGAAGUUUAACUUCGGUCUUGAUUGCAAUAUGAAAAUGGUCUAUUUUUCCUGAUGCAACACGAGUUCUUUCAUGUUCUACGUUUACAGGUCCUAUUUUUUAAAUCAUGUACUAGGUCCGUUGUUAAGAAGCACCUGGCAACUUCUAUUACAUAAGUGAAAAGCCUGCUACAUGCUAAAUUUCAACAUAAAGGGUUUGCUUUAUGGGAAGGUUUUCAUACGCCCAGACCUGCCUCUCCCUCGCACAGGCAAGCCAAUCGCUGAUGUGCCUUUGACUAUCGAUGUCGUGCCAUGACCUGUGAAACCAGUCAAGACGGAUUCCCCAUUCGUGAAAGAGACACUUUAUGCAUUCAUGAUUACCGGUUUCAUGGAAGAAGUCUCACGCGCACAACUAGAGUAUGCUAGGUGCGCUGGUAAGGGACGCUCUUCCAUCAAGACCUGAAGAAAUUUGGUUCAGCGUGUGGCACUUGAAGAUUGGAGAACAUCCUAAAUACUCUUCAGGCUGAGAUUUUAGUUGCUGCCAACUGGGCUCAGUUAGCAGCUUUUGAUGGAAUCAGAUCUGUGAACUGAUUCUCUGGUCUUAAAAGAAAGAAUGAUGGUGAUAUUGAUCGAUCAGGUGUCUGCAUAUCUAUGGCAGAAUUCAAGGAUUUCCUGAGUCAAAACUUUGAUUUUUGUUCCUUUAGUUGGCAAAGAGAACUUCAAAUAACAGAGUAUCAAAUGACGUGGCAAGGUUGGGCUGCGUGUUAAAUUUGUAUGAAGACGUUCAUGUAGACAAUGUAAUGCCUGGUCUAUUUGAGCUUAUGGUGAGCGAUAUGGCUC